CAACUGUUUUAAAUCUUUAUGCAUUUUAUCUAAUUUAGUCAGCUAUAGUUUUAAGUUAUAGGUUUAAACAUAAGUUGUUGCUUUUCACCAUUUAAUGGGUUAAACUAAUUUAUCUUUUAUCCCACGUUAAUUCUGGAUAAAUUGAGUCCAUUUAUUGUUUAACAUCAUUAAUCAUUACUCUGCCUUUUGCUUUUUGACUUCCCCACAAUGUAACUUCUCCUUUGUUAUUGCAGAACACAAAAGUAUUAUCACAUAUUAUCGAGUGCAUUCAGGGUAGAGUAGGUUAUUUUCAUGACAAUAAUAGGGAAAUAAUGUAAAUCAAAUCCAAAAUGUAAUGAAAUAUUAAAUGUUUGAACCUUCAACAUGAGUAUAACGUCCCUCUCUGCAAUGACACCCAUUGUAUUCAAAAUGUUCAUCCCUCUUACAGUAAUAAGACAGUUAUUACAGUAAUAGUGAGUGGUGGGCUGUGAAUCUCAUUGAGAUAUAUCUCCUGUAUGGUUUUAUUCUCCUCUGUAAACCUCCAGGUGUGGAGACCUUCUGCAACGCCACACAGCCACACAUCACGACCCAGUGCUUUGGCUCUCUGGGAGGAACCGUAGAGGUCCAGAUGCUUACUCAGUACUCACAAGAUGAUACCUUCAGACUGAAGAAGAACAAUGUCACGAUUUUAUCAGAACGCAAUCAGACAAACAUUCGAUAUUCAUUUAAUGUCAGUACUGGAAUAUUUACUAUAAAGGACAUCGACAGGAAAGACAAUGGUGAAUACUCAAUGGAAGUAUAUGACCGAGAAGCUGGAAGGCUAGUGGCAUCUACAAAAUGUUAUUUAACCAUUCAAGCCCCGGCCUCCUCUCCCCUCAUGUCCCGGGAGUGUCUGUCCUGGGGACAGCAGAGGGUGUCCUGCUCUGCCGGGGGGGACGGACUCCACUACAGCUGGAGUCUAGACGGACUCCCGCUGAACGACCCGCGUCUCCUCUCCGGACCCAGUAGCGCUAGUGACGUCACUCUGGAGCCGGGCCGGUCGGGACUGGUCACCUGCUCGGUCCACAACAUCAUGAGCAACGCCACGGCCAACAUCACCUUGUCUGUGUGUGACGGUGUGAAGACCGUCUGCGACGCCACACAGCCACGCGUCACGACCCAGUGCUUUGGCUCUCUGGGAGAAACCGUGGAGGUCCUGAUGCCUACUCAGUCCUCACAAAAUGAUACCUUCAGACUGAAGAAAGACAGAGUCACGAUUUUAUCAGGACGCAGUCAGACAAACAUUCGAUAUUCAUUUAAUGUCAGUACUGGAAUAUUUACUAUAAAGGACAUCGACAGGACAGACAAUGGUACAUACUCAAUGGAAGUACAUAAUGUAACUGGAAUGGGAGUAGCAUUUACAAAAUGUUAUUUAAACAUUCAAGCCCCGGUCUCCUCUCCCCUCCUGUCCCGGGAGUGUCUGUCCUGGGGACAGCAGAGGGUGUCCUGCUCUGCCGGGGGGGACGGACUCCACUACAGCUGGAGUCUAGACGGACUCCCGCUGAACGACCAGCGUCUCCCCUCCGGACCCAGUAGCGCUAGUGACGUCACUCUGGAGCCGGGACGGUCGGGACUGCUCACCUGCUCGGUCCGCAACAUCGUGAGCAACGCCACGGCCAACAUCACCUUGUCUGUGUGUGACGGUGUGGAGACCGUCUGCGACGCCACACAGCCACACAUCACGACCCAGUGCUUUGGCUCUCUGGGAGGAACCGUAGAGGUCCAGAUGCUUACUCAGUCCUCACAAAAUGAUGCCUUCAGACUGAGGAAGAACAAUGUCGCGAUUUUAUCAGGACGCAAUCAGACAAACAUUCGAUAUUCAUUUAAUGUCAGUACUGGAAUGUUUACUAUAAAGGACAUCGACAGGACAGACAAUGGUGCAUACUCAAUGGAAGUACAUAAUGCAUCUGGAAACCAAGUAGCAUUAAACUAUUGUUAUUUAACCAUUCAAGCCCCGGUCUCCUCUCCCCUCCUGUCCCGGGAGUGUCUGUCCCGGGGACAGCAGAGGGUGUCCUGCUCUGCCGGGGGGGACGGACUCCACUACAGCUGGAGUCUAGACGGACUCCCGCUGAACGACCCGCGUCUCCUCUCCGGACACAGUAGCGCUAGUGACGUCACUCUGGAGCCGGGCCGGUCGGGAUUGCUCACCUGCUCGGUCCGCAACAUCGUGAGCAACGCCACGGCCAACAUCACCUUGUCUGUGUGUGGCGGGCUCGUCCCGUUCAUCGUUCGUCCUCUGACGGUGGUGCUGCUGCUCCUAGCAGCAUUGGGAGUCUACUGGGCCCUAAAGAAGAAGAAAACCUCCAGCCCUCGAGGUACCAACAAGUGUCUCUUUGGGUCAACUGUUCAACGCAAACUUUACUUCCCGUGCUGUUUUCUCAUUUUCUAGUGUUCUGUUUGUUCAGACAUCGCGCUGUCCUCCAUGGCAGUAGAUGAUGAUGUGCCGUACGUUAACGUCUCCGGGGCGACCGGGAGGUCAGGGGGAGAGUGAGGGGGAGUACGGGGCGGUCAGGGUGGCUCCAGGCCCCAGGCGGACGCGGGAGACCAAUGUGGGCGAGCUAGUGCGCGCUCAGCCCCGGAGGACGAGGCCCUGAGAGCUGUCACCACCCAGAAGGACGCGUAGACAGCGCUUUAGCCAGAGAGCCAUCAGCCCACUGACAUUAGACCUGCCAGGGACACUUCUCUCCCUGCAUCUCAAAGGCCACUUCGUUUGAAAAUGUGAAUAUUUAUUCGGCCGUGGUUAUGUUCAUAUUUAUGUUCAUAAAGCCGUUCACAUGUAGUUUAAACAGUGUAGUAGUCAAAUCUCAACUCUUAUUUUUAUUAUUAAUAGUGUCUAUUUUUUCCUCUGUUGUUGUCCACGGUGGCUUCCUGGGUCAAGGAUAGAAACUGAUCCAAUCAAAUAAUUGUGAUAGCUCGAUCUCUGAAAGCAAUAUUCUGCAUGUGUAACUCUUAACAUAUAACUACUAUUUUCUUUAUAGUAUACUAUACUGAAUGUGUAACUUAAUUUCAUUAUUUUUUGCACUAUUAUGUAUGUGUAACUGGCUUGGAUGCGUUUCCGUAUGAAAUAUACUAUUUUUUUUAAAGAGUAGGCCUACUUCAUCUUUUGUGUUCUAUAAACAUUCUUAAGGUUCCAGACAUGUAAAUUGAACCACUUACACACGGCACACACACACACACGCACGCGCACGAACGCACAUGCGCACACACACACACACACACACACACACACACACACACACACACAAUUUGAUGGCACUUUUAUUCAUUUUACCCUUGUUUUACUGUUACAAAAUCCAGUUGACAUCUUACCAUACCGAAGAGAUAAUUUACAACAAAAAAAUUAGGGAUGUCCGAUAUUGGCUUUUUUGCCGAUAUCCGAUAUGCGAUAUUGUCCAACUCUAAAUUUUCGAUUCCGAUAUCAGCCGAUACCGAUAUUUGGGUUAUUUAUUUUUCCUCAAACCUAAUUUAGGUAACAUUACAUAUCUCCUGUUGUGGAAUUAACACAACAUGCUUAAUGUUAUUGUGAUGCCCCACUGGAUGCAUUCUUGAAUGCAACAAGGCUUUCCAAAUGUUAACAUUGUCUGUGCAAAAUAAGAAAAAUACUUCAACUUAAUUUAAGGGAAAAGUAAAAAAAUUUUUAAUGGUCUCAGACAACAGUUUGGAUUACACUCUCCCUGAGAUAAUCUUGACAACGCCCACAACAAAUAGGGCAAACUUGACUUCACAAAUGAUAAAACAUUGUACCUGAACAACUAUGUGCAACAUAGCAGUAUGUUUCUUUGACUAAAACUCAAUAACCUUAAUUGAAUAAAUGCACAAAUAUUAGUCAAUUACAAUGUGCACUGUACUGCACAAUUUUGAAAACAUUUAUUUGAGCUAUAAAAAAAAUAAAAUAAAAAAAAUCGGUUUUAGGGCAAAAAAAAUCCGAUACCGAUAUUGACCGAUAUUACAUUUUUAUGCUAAUAUCGGGCCGAUAAUAUCGGUGGGCCGAUAAUAUCGGACAUCUCUAAAAAAAAUAGAUUUUAGGUUUGAAUGAUAAGGGACCAAAGAGGCGACUGUUGGUGGAACAAAAGAAGAAUGGACCAGAAAAGAGAUCAGACACGAGUGAAAGGGGAACUAUGAAACUUUUUUGGCUUGAUUUACCUUAAUAUAACAGGCUAAGAGUCAUUGCGAUGGUUCUAUUAUACAUUUUUGUUCGAUUGUUGGUUGUUUCGACUCCCCCUUGCGCAUCUUGGCGGAGAAAAGGAAUAUGUUUCUGCCAGCGACCCGCCGCCCACUCUCGCGGGAGUCUCGGGUCUCGAGAAGUAACGAAUUGCUUUACGGCACAGACCCCCAAAAACGGAACCGGUGUAAGUACCAUAUUGGCUCGGCUUUCAGAUCGGCUCGGGGUCCGUCGUCUGCUGAUUACGUCACACAAUAGCUAUCUACAGCAAUAAGGUUUUUUAUGGCUUAAAUUAAAGAGCCUGUAAUGAUCUUUCAUUUUGAACAUAGACCAUUCCCAACCUAUCUGUAUGGAUAGUUUUCUUCUAAAAACAAAACAUCCCUCGGAAUCAUCUUGGCUGUUAAAAUAAGCCGUCCGUGUUGCCAAAUUGGGCACAUUUUCAGCCUGAUUUGGCUACUUUGAAUCACGUUAGGCUGGAAAACCGGGACAUAUGCCCAAUCUGGCAACACAAACCGAAACUAGACAUAGACCUACUCGCGCUCACAAAUGUGCUCGCUGUUGCCUCGUGGUUGCUAUGACUACAGCCAGAGCUACAGCACAAAACAGCCAAUCACAACUGUCCGACGUACAGCCAAUCACAAUGUACGCCCAUUCAAGCGUACAGCCAAUGAUAUUGUGUAACGUAAUCAGCAGACGACGGACCCCGAGCCGAUCUGGAAGCCGAGCCGAUAUGGUACUUACACCGGCUCAAUCUAAACACAAGUAACUAAGGCAAGGCACUUUUAUUUAUAUAGCACAUUUCAUGCCAAUGGCAACCCAAAGUGCUUUACACAAAUACAAUGAAGUGUUUUCCAUAAUAAAAGGAAGACAAGACAAAAUAUAAAAAUUAAAAUGCAUAAAAUCAGAUAAAAAACAUAAAUAAAGUGAAUAAAGGGUUAUGCAUAAGGGAGAGCAUAUAAAACAGAAAAUUAGUCUAAGAAAAGGCAACAGAAAAUAGAUGGGUCUUGAUACUGGUUUUAAAACUGUCAAUAGAGGGUGAAGUUCUGAUUGAAAUUGGCAGCUGGUUCCACAGCUGAGUAGCAUAAAAACUAAAGGCAGCUUCACCGCUUUUGGUUCUCACAGUUGGUUUUGUUAAAAACAGUUGGUCUUGAGAUCUAAGAGGUCUAGUGGGGGUGUGGUAUUGGAGGAGGUCUACGAGAUAAGUGGGCCCCAUUCCAGUUAGUGAUUUAAAAACAAGCAACAAUACUUUAAAAUCUAUUCUUUGACUGACAGGGAGCCAGUGUAAAGUUUUUAGUAGGGGUGUAAUGUGGUCUGACCUCUUAGCUUUCAUAAGGACCCUAGCAGCUGCAUUCUGGAUCAACUAAGGGAUUGUUACAUUCAUCAUAGAUCAGCCGACUAAAAAGAGACAGCGAAACCCAAUGUCUGAGGAACAGAAGAAGAGAAAAGGGAGACUGACCGACAGAGAGGCCAGACACGAGUAAACGUUGGGCAAGCUUUUCAGGAAUAGCGUGAACUGAAAGAAAAAGAAGACUGCAAAUCAGACGCUGACUUGGCCGUGUUGCUUUUGAAAUUGAAAGUACCCUUGGGUGAACUUUGUCUUCGUGGUAUUCUUGAUAUUGAUAGACAAACUAUCCAUUUGUCUCUGUACAAAUGUGUUUGCUCAACCAUUUUGUUGUGAGCCCUGUAAAAAUUGUUUUCUCGACCGUUUUGUUGUGAGCCCUGUAUGUUUCUAGCUUGCUUGGUUGCAACCAUAUAAACACCUUUGUUUCCAUGGGUGUUUUGCUGUUCGUCUGUCUCGUCCCCCAGAUACAGACUGAAUCCCCAAAUCCAGGUUCUUGUUUAUUUCGAUUAUUAUGUUGGCCAACACUCUUACACAGAUUGUUCUGUUCAACCUAAGAUAAAACAAUUAUAAUCUAGGAUAUAAAUUCUCACCGUCAACUAUAAAAAAGGAUGGAUAUAUGUUUAUUGCAAUACAAAUACACCAUUUUAAAAUGUAUAACCUUGCCUACACUUUGUGAACAUCUACUUCGGACAUGGCUCCACGCAUUCGCCGGCUUCUUUGAAAACAAAUGCACAUGGCUCGCGUAGAAGUGCAUGGGGAAGGGUCGUCAACGAGUUGUUACGACAGUGUUGUCAAAUAUCUACUACGAAGCUGUAGGGGGCGCUGUCUAGAGAAAUGUGCGUGCCAAAACCAAGAAAACAGCGAAGAAAUGCCCGAAGUUGCAGAGUGGGCCUAGUCAACACGUCGACAUUAAACUCGAAAUGUCGAGAAUAAAGUUGAAAUGUCAUGUCGACCCUAAUCUCGACAUGUCGAGAGUAAAACUCGAAAUGUCGAGAAUAAAGUUGAAAUAUUAUGUUGACUUUGAUCUUAAUUUGUCGACUUUGAAGUCGACAUUAAACUCGAAAUGUCGAGGAUACAGUUGAAAUUAGUUGGGAGAGAUAGCAACCGCUCCACAGGGCCUGCACUGAAUCCAAUGGCUUGUAA
ensembl:lncRNA